UUUUAUGGAGAGUUUGAUCCUGGCUCAGGAUGAACGCUGGCGGCGUGCCUAAUACAUGCAAGUCGAGCGAACGGACGAGAAGCUUGCUUCUCUGAUGUUAGCGGCGGACGGGUGAGUAACACGUGGAUAACCUACCUAUAAGACUGGGAUAACUUCGGGAAACCGGAGCUAAUACCGGAUAAUAUUUUGAACCGCAUGGUUCAAAAGUGAAAGACGGUCUUGCUGUCACUUAUAGAUGGAUCCGCGCUGCAUUAGCUAGUUGGUAAGGUAA
rnacentral:rRNA from 1 species